UAUGGUCUAGCACGGUUAUGGGACUUGAAGACCAGGAGCCAGAGGAGGCCCUGGAAAAAUGGUAAGUAAUGUAUGUUCUGACUGGAAAGACCAGGACCCCAUUCUACAGGCCUGGCACAGAGUUAACUUGGACUAAUUGGUGACGAGUUCACCCAACCCUUAUGUGAAUUGUUUGUGUUAUGAUGCAUUUCAUAGAGCAUAGUGUUAACGUGUUUU
rnacentral:lncRNA from 1 species